GCUUUGGUGGUGCAUCUGGCUAGCAAGCACCUUCGGAAAGGAUGAGGCGCGGGUUCGACUCCCGCCCGCGGUU